rnacentral:rRNA from 1 species
GACGAACGCUGGCGGCGUGCCUAAUACAUGCAAGUCGAACGGUCUUUUCUAUGGAAGCUUGCUUCCGCUGAGAAGAUAGUGGCGAACGGGUGAGUAACACGUGGGUAACCUGCCCAUAAGAGGGGGAUAACAUCCGGAAACGGGUGCUAAUACCGCAUAGGUUUCUUGGUCGCAUGAUCGAGAAAGGAAGACGGCCUUUGUGCUGUCGCUUAUGGAUGGACCCGCGGCGUAUUAGUUAGUUGGUGGGUAAGCCUACAAAAAUGAUGCAUAGCCGAGUUGAGAGACUGAUCGGCCAC